rnacentral:rRNA from 1 species
GACGAACGCUGGCGGCGUGCUUAACACAUGCAAGUCGAACGGAAAGGCCUUUUCGGCGGUACUCGAGUGGCGAACGGGUGAGUAACACGUGGGUGAUCUGCCCUGCACUCUGGGAUAAGCCUGGGAAACUGGGUCUAAUACCGGAUAGGACCGCACUUUAGUGUGUGUGGUGGAAAGUUUUUUCGGUGUAGGAUGAGCCCGCGGCCUAUCAGCUUGUUGGUGGGGUAAUGGCCUACCAAGGCGGCGACGGGUAGCCGGACUGAGAGGUUGGUCGGCCACAUUGAGACUGAGAUGCGGCCCAGACUCCUACGGGAGGCAGCAGUGGGGAAUAUUGCACAAUGGGCGCAAGCCUGAUGCAGCGACGCCGCGUGGGGGAUGACGGCCUUCGGGUUGUAAACUCCUUUCGCCAGGGACGAAGCGUUUUGUGACGGUACCUGGAGAAGAAGCACCGGCUAACUACGUG